ACGGACUACCCGGGUUUCUAAUCCUGUUUGAUCCCCACGCUUUCGUGCCUCAGCGUCAGUUACAGUUUAGUGAGCUGCCUUCGCAAUCGGUGUUCUGUGUCAUAUCUAUGCAUUUCACCGCUACAUGACACAUUCCGCCCACCUCAUCUGUACUCAAGCACUGCAGUAUCAAUGGCAAUUUUACAGUUAAGCUGCAAACUUUCACCACUGACUUACAACGCCGCCUACGCACCCUUUAAACCCAAUAAAUCCGGAUAACGCUUGGAUCCUCCGUAUUACCGCGGCGGCUGGCAC
rnacentral:misc_RNA from 1 species